rnacentral:lncRNA from 1 species
UAGUCAGAUAGUUAUUUCUAGCUACCAGUACCUUCCAUCAGUAAUGUCUUUUCCUGGUAACAUUUCAUCUUCAUUUCAAGAUGCUGAGGUCUUGGCAACACAUACAGUAGAUGUUGAUCACAUUCAGCUGGGGAUCUUUUCAUGUACUGGCUGCCAGCAGCUUCAAGAAGCCACAGCACAGAAAGGGAAGGAAGAGGUACUGUGGGAUCCCAGCCACAAAGGUCUUCCUUGCUGUUCAAAAAAGAUUCUAGUAAAAGAGAGAUUUUUUUUUAAAAGAAAAAGGAUCUGCAAGCAAGUGGAACUAUGCAUGAGAUGUUCAUGA